rnacentral:lncRNA from 8 species
UGUAGAGAGAGAGUAGAGGAGAAGCCCUCCGAUCAGGCUGCAGCAGAUGAUCGGUUCCAACGCUGGAGUUGUUGUGUCACAAACACUCCUAGAGGACUAGGGCAUGGGGAGGUGACUGCAGGACUAGGGCAUGGGGGUGUGACUGCAGGACUAGGGCAUGGGGGGGAGAUUGCAGGACUAGGGCAUGGGGGUGUGACUGCAGGACUAGGGCAUGGGGAGGGGAGGGAUUGCAGGACUAGGGCAUGGGGAGGUGACUGUAGGACUAGGGCAUGGGGAGAUGACUGCAGGACUAGGGCAUGGGGAGGUGACUGCAGGACUAGGGCAUGGGGAGGUGACUGCAGGACUAGGGCAUGGGGAGGUGACUGCAGGACUAGGGCAUGGGGAGGUGACUGUAGGACUAGGGCAUGGGGAGGUGACUGCAGGACUAGGGCAUGGGGAGGUGACUGCAGGACUAGGGCAUGGGGAGGGGAGGGGAUUGCAGGACUAGGGCAUGGGGAGGUGACUGCAGGACUAGGGCAUGGGGAGGUGACUGCAGGACUAGGGCAUGGGGAGGUGACUGCAGGACUAGGGCAUGGGGAGGUGACUGCAGGACUAGGGCAUGGGGAGGUGACUGCAGGACUAGGGCAUGGGGAGGUGACUGCAGGACUAGGGCAUGGGGGUGUGACUGCAGGACUAGGGCAUGGGGGUGUGACUGUAGGACUAGGGCAUGGGGAGGUGAAUGUAGGACUAGGGCAUGGGGAGGUGACUGCAGGACUAGGGCAUGGGGAGGUGACUGCAGGACUAGGGCAUGGGGAGGUGACUGCAGGACUAGGGCAUGGGGAGGUGACUGUAGGACUAGGGCAUGGGGAGGUGACUGCAGGACCAGGUGCAUGCGGAGUUGACUGCAGGCCUAGAGCAUUGGGAGGUGACUGCAGGACUAGGGCAUGGGGAGGUGACUGCAGGACUAGGGCAUGGGGAGGUGAUUGCAGGACUAGAGCAUUGGGAGGUGAUUGCAGGACUAGGGCAGACCUUCUGUCCCAGACCUGCUGUUUUCAACUCUCUAGAGACAGCAGGAGCGGUAGAGAUACUCUGAAUGAUCGGCUAUGA